GAUGAAGAACGUAGCGAAAUGCGAUAAGUAAUGUGAAUUGCAGAAUUCAGUGAAUCAUCGAAUCUUUGAACGCACAUUGCGCCCGCCAGUAUUCUGGCGGGCAUGCCUGUCUGAGCGUCAUUUCAACCCUCAUGCCCCUAGGGCGUGGUGUUGGGGAUCGGCCAAAGCCCGCGAGGGACGGCCGGCCCCUAAAUCUAGAGGCGGACCCGUCGUGGCCUCCUCUGCGAAGUAGUGAUAUUCCGCAUCGGAGAGCGACGAGCCCCUGCCGUUAAACCCCCAACUUUCCAAGGUUGACCUCAGAUCAGGUAGGAAUACCCGCUGAACUUAAGCAUAUCAAUAAGCGGAGGA
rnacentral:misc_RNA from 1 species